rnacentral:rRNA from 1 species
CCUACGGGGGGCAGCAGUGGGGAAUAUUGGACAAUGGGGGGAACCCUGAUCCAGCCAUGCCGCGUGUGUGAAGAAGGCCCUCGGGUUGUAAAGCACUUUCAGUGAGGAAGAACGCCUGGUGGUUAAUACCCAUCAGGAAAGACAUCACUCACAGAAGAAGCACCGGCUAACUCCGUGCCAGCAGCCGCGGUAAUACGGAGGGUGCGAGCGUUAAUCGGAAUUACUGGCGUAAAGCGCGCGUAGGUGGCUUGAUAAGCCGGUUGUGAAAGCCCCGGGCUCAACCUGGGAACGGCAUCCGGAACUGUCAAGCUAGAGUGCAGGAGAGGAAGGUAGAAUUCCCGGUGUAGCGGUGAAAUGCGUAGAGAUCGGGAGGAAUACCAGUGGCGAAGGCGGCCUUCUGGACUGACACUGACACUGAGGUGUGAAAGCGUGGGUAGCAAACAGGAUUAGAUACCCUAGUAGUC